AUGAAAUGAAGACCAAUUGUACAUGAGCAGGAAACUGCCUAGGAAUAGUCUACAGCACGUUACCCAAGAGUAAAGUGUUAUUUUAAGUAGAGAUGCAAUCCAGCAGCAAUGUGCCUUACAUAGAACAACUGGCAGGAACCUCCCUAAGCUGCGAACCCUGAACAAAGCUUGAAUAGACGUGACCGUUUUUUCCCCACAGAGUGCCUUGUUCAUUAAGCCAUCGGCAGAAGAGUCUGUAUCCUUUACGCAAUUACUCAGCAAGUGCUUUUAAAGACGCUGUAAUAGACUCAGGAAAGUCAUCUUCUCUCAGCAGAGGAAAUUCAAGACUGUUCUCUUGACCACCAGGCUGGUCUAGAACUAGAGACACUCACUCCUGCUGUGUUGGCCACUGAGUUUGGCCACUUCAGUAAAAGAUCAGUUUUUGACUGAAGAAGAAAUGAAUUACGAACUGGACAAAGAAAAAGAGGAACAAAAAUAUCAUUAUCAGCAUCAAAUACCCUAAGGCUGAUUUGUUAAAGCACUGCCACCUUCAUUUAUUUCAAAAGCGCACGAACAAAAGGUAACAGCUACGCAUGACAAGUGGAUGAAUUUACACAGACAUCAACGCUGCACAGAAGAACUACAGGAGAGGUAUUUGCGGCUGCAGUUCAGAACAACCCAGUACUCAGCAUCAUUGUAACUAACAGUGGUAAAAGCCACUCCAGGACCUGCUAGGAAGAUAUUGAAAGGAAGGCAAGAUUCUCAAGACUAAGGCAGCUCCACCAAAGAUACGAAAAGACUGAAAAGAAAUCCAGCAACCUGAAAAAGAAACUCAACUUUUUUCAUUACUGAUUAAAACAACUUCAUUUCGGAAGAGCUGUCUCCACACCACCUGAAUGUUCCAAAAGAGCAAAACUCCACAACACAACACAAGACAACGCAACGCAACACUUUCAUGAAUUCUAUUUGGUAAAAGGUAACGUUUUUCACAGCAUGCAGUAACUCACUCAACUUUUAAUAUUGCACUUACCCUCAGCAGGCAGUUCCACAAUUCAUAUUGAAGAGAUUUAACUGCAGCAAUGAUAUCAGACAACUGUUUCAGCCAGAAUUACUUUAUCAACACUUGACUUACAUCCUUUGCACUACUAACACUCUAACAACUGCAGGGGAACAGGUCAGGGCUUGCACUGGUGAUUGAGCACCUGGUGAAGGGGUGUGGCUGGCCCAGGGAGCACAGGCAGACUGUUUGCACCUGUGCUCCCCAGCGCACCAGAAGGGGUGGACACAGGUGGAGCCCCCUGAGCUCAUAUAAGGGCCAGCCACUGAAGGGAGAGCAUGGCUUGGAUCUGGGCUGCUUCUGAGGAGGGGUACUGCACAGCCAUAAUCUGCUUCACCAGCUGGGUGAGUGCUAUUCUUCUUUCUGAGCAGGACUAUUGGUCUACCUACAAAUGCUUUGGUAUCACCAAAAACCUGACAAAAAAGAUUUUUUUUUCUUUGUGAGUAGAAUAACAGCUUAGCCUUCGUAAUUAAGUUUUACAUGCAGACAAUGCAAAUUUACCAGUUACUACAGCGUUAAAAUAGUAAACAAGUCUUUAGGAUGCUUUUGAAAAAGUUUUUGUGAUGAAAAAUAGUCUUGGAAAUUAAAGAAAAAAAACUUGCAGUAGAACUAUCAACAGGCUUGCAGGACUUUGUGGAAGAAUCUGUGAUUUUCACAAAUUACUGAUACAUGACAGUAUGAUAUGACAUGUACUGUUGGGAAGCAACAAGCUCUAUUAGGAGUUUUUUGUUAAGGAACAAAUUAUUAAAACUGUUUCCUUCCACAAGAAAAGCCACUAAGGCAACAACAAAAAAUUACCAAAAGUAACUGUAAUACAUACCAACUCAGCACAGAGUAGCUGCAGCUUUGUUUAAGCCAGCUAACAAGGGUAAAAAAAGAUAUGACAAUACUACAGGUCCUACGAAUGCAGCACAGGGGUAAGUCUCUGGGGAGUGGGGAAGACCAGAGAAAACAACCCCAGCAAUGGCAGCAGGAAAGAACCCCCUGCUGCCAUCACUGCCCUCAACUCUCACAUGCUCAUGAACAACCAUUUCUGUUGCUCCCUGUGCAAUAGCUCCUAAGGCUUCAUAAUGGGGAAAUAUCAGAGAGGAUGAAGGAUAGAGGAGGCUGGAAGGAGAUACGUGGUAUCUGUUUUAUUUAGCAUAUUUUUCCACUUCAUACACAUGUGAGAGAAAUGAUAAGGUUCUCUAACUUUCAAUAGCCUUUUCUAGAUGUAAGUAUAACACUGACACAGACUGACCAGAGCUGGACAAUGUUGUCACCCUUCUUGCUUUUGUUACUUUCAAAUCCUUGUCUGCUAGAAAUUGGCUACUAAGCUGUAAUAAACUGCAGGAAACAGAAUGGGGACUUGGGUCUGUGCUAACACAACUUUAAGCAAAACAGCUCUCCGAUGUCUUUGUAUCUACAACCAUGACAGAACACUGACACCAUGCAACAGUACCAGAACAUUUCAGAAGAGGUCAGAUAUAAUAGAACAAUACAUGAUUACCUUAAUAAUCCAACAUCGGAGUGUAACUGUCAUCUGACAGGAAAAAUCCUUCAAUUUACCACUUGCCCUACUCAAAAUCAGUAUAUUUUUUUAGCAGCAAUGACUUCAGUUCUUCAAUACUUGUUA
ensembl:lncRNA